AAAAGCUCGAGGGACUCAAGCCAAUCAGAAGAACGGGUCAUGUAGGCACCCGUAUUCCACUCCAACAGGUCUGUGAUGUAAGGUGGAAGUUUUCCAAUAAGAGCCUUAAAGAUAUAUAAAAAACAAUGUUUGUUGCGCCUCUCUUCAAGAGAAGGCCAACCGACCCUCUCAUGCAGGUCACAGUGUUGAGUGUGAAAUCGAUCACCAGUUAUAAACCUGAGGGCGGAGUGAUAGACGGCGUCCAGAGGCUUCAGAAUUGAAGCUGCAGCAUGUCUAUAAAUGACAUCGCCGUAAUCCAUCACUGACAAGAACACAGUGUUGGGCCUCAGCCAUGUGUGCUGGAUAAAAGGACUCAGGCCUGUAUCGCAGUUCUCAAGCCUGGCUAGAGUUAUUUUGGAGGAAACUAUACUAAGGUGUCUUAGCCCAGCACCCCCCAACAGCAACUAACAAAUAGUUGUGAAAAGUGGGGGGUGUCUGAAUUCUCUACCCUCAUUGGAGGAGGCCUGAGGUAAACCCCCAGCAGUUCCAAUCCUUAAAAGCAAUCACUCCACUCACUUUCUUUCUCUUCAAGUGUGGUCUGCUACACAAGAGGAUACCCUUUUUGCACAUGAUGUACUCCAGCAUUCGAGGAAGCAAUCUUCCUGUUCUUGACUUACAUAGGUUAAACUCCAGAGCUGAGGUUGUUCAGUCUAGGUAGCUCUUCACAUGCUGAAUUCAAGCAUCAGAGGAUUCAGCUGACUACUUCCACUGCAUAUUUUUAGGAGUUUUGGGCGCAAUCAGAUGCUAUCAGGUUGGAGCAAAAAGAAGAGUUUCUUUCCUAUGAUUUUUCGUAAGACAUCAUUGAACACAACUGGACAGGUGCGCUGAAGGAAGCCCACUGAUCCCUGAAUCCACAAGGACACAUAAAGAACUCAGCUCCUGCAAGCAGAAGACCACAGAGCAGCACUCUGGUCGAAGAUCUGAAUCCUGCUACCCUCCUCCUACAUCUGCCACGAAGCAAACCUGCCUGAAUCUGUUGAUUUAAUAUUCAACAGAGUGGAGAUCCAACCAACUUUGCAACGAUCAUCAAGAGUUACCCCAAGUAAGAGCUUUGGUCUGGGCAGAAAUAGUUUCAGAAAUAGUUACGUCACAUUCUGUUUAUUAUCUGUUGUAAGCUGCUGCAUUUGUUUUAUUGUGAUGAACCGCUGUGUUCGCCUAUGUGUGUAAUGCUAUGCUAGUUAACCUUCAGUCAACGGCUUUCACAAACAGAAAGACCAGUGUACCCGCCGUUGAAUCUAAGUCCGGCCACUGGUUUUCUGGUGUUUAAGUAACAGUUACUGAACUCAGCUCAGAGAGCUCAAACUAUUUCAAAAGGCAGCCACACGGCUUCCUUUGUUGUCCACCAUUUUGUCCACAUGUGACGAAGCCACAUGGUGCAUUGUCUCUUUCCACCAUCUUAUUUUCUCUCCCUCUCUCUCUCUCUCUCUCUCUCUCUCUCACACACACACACACACACACACACACACAACUACACUUUUACACCUCAUUCACAAGUUUUGCUUUAUAAUGUUUGUUUGCUUAGAUUAGUUUAUAAUAGUUAUUUGUUUGAUUAAGUUCAUUGAUUUUGGAUUGAUGUUGCUUUGUUUAAAUAAAUUCUGUUUUAAUUU